GACGAACGCUGGCGGCGUGCUUAACACAUGCAAGUCGAGCGGUAAGGCCCUUUCGGGGGUACGACGAGCGGCGAACGGGUGAGUAACACGUGGGUGGACCUGCCCUCCAGCUCUGGGAGUAAGCCUGGGAAACCGGGUACUAAUACCGGAUAUGACUCCAUGACGCAUGUUGUGGGGUGGAAAGCCUUGUGCGGCUGAGGAUGGGCCCGCGGCCUAUCAGCUUGUUGGUGGGGUGAUGGCCUACCAAGGCGACGACGGGUAGCCGGCCUGAGAGGGCGACCGGCCACACUGGGACUGAGACACGGCCCAGACUCCUACGGGAGGCAGCAGUGGGGAAUCUUGCGCAAUGGGCGAAAGCCUGACGCAGCGACGCCGCGUGAGGGAUGACGGCCUGG
rnacentral:rRNA from 1 species